rnacentral:lncRNA from 1 species
UUCAAGGUCAGCUUUCUUGAACACCUCCUGAUCCAUACCCUUUCCAAUCAGUUGAUGAGACGCCAAGGCUCUACCUUCACUUUCACCCACCUUAGCGCCUGAGCUAGCUCCGGAUGAACCGGCACCAUUUACUUCAGCAGAAAGAUGAGCCUUUGCUUCCCUAUCCCUGUUGAACCCGCGUGGCCUGAGGUGAGGAUGUAAGAUCCAACACUCACUCUUCUUGUGACCGGUCCUCUUGCAAU